GAUCAAGUGACGAAAGGGCAUUUGGUGGAUGCCUUGGCGGUAAGAGGCGAUGAAGGACGUGGUACGCUGCGAUAAGCUACGGGAAGGUGCGAACAGCCGUCGAUCCGUAGAUUUCCGAAUGGGGCAACCCACCUUCGAUAACGAGAACUUCGAGGUCGGACUUUUCACAAAGUCCUAUGGCCUUGGAGCUGUCCGGCUUCGGAUUUCUCGUUAUCAAGAGAAGGUAUCUAUCCCUGAAUAUAUAGGGGAAUAGAAGCAAACCCAGGGAACUGAAACAUCUAAGUACCUGGAGGAAAGGACAUCAACCGAGACUCCGCUAGUAGUGGCGAGCGAACGCGGACUAGGCCAGUGCUCAAGUAAGGACAACUGGAACCAUCUGGAAUGUUGGGCCAUAGCGGGUGACAGCCCCGUACAGGUAAUGCCGAACGAGAGCCUCGAGUAGGGCGGGACACGUGAAAUCCUGUCUGAACAUGGGGGGACCACCCUCCAAGCCUAAGUACUCCUUACCGACCGAUAGCGAACCAGUACCGUGAGGGAAAGGUGAAAAGCACCCCGACGAGGGGAGUGAAAUAGAACCUGAAACCGAAUGCCUACAAACAGUGGGAGCCUGCAAUGGUGACCACGUACCUUUUGUAUCAUGGGUCUGCGACUUAGUCUGACGAGCAAGCUUAAGGCGAUAGCUGUAGGCGUAGCGAAAGCGAGUCUGAACAGGGCGUUCAGUUCGUCGGACUAGACCCGAAACCAGUCGAUCUAUCCAUGGCCAGGUUGAAGGUAAGGUAACACUUACUGGAGGACCGAACCGGUGCCUGUUGAAAAAGUCUCGGAUGAGCUGUGGAUAGGGGUGAAAGGCCAAUCAAGGCUGGAAAUAGCUGGUUCUCCGCGAAAGCUAUUUAGGUAGCGCCUCGGACGAAUACCCUAGGGGGUAGAGCACUGGAUGGGCUAGGGGUCCCCACAGGAUUACCAAACCUAACCAAACUCCGAAUACCUAGGAGUACUAUCCGGGAGACACACGGCGGGUGCUAACGUCCGUCGUGAAGAGGGCAACAACCCUGACCGACAGCUAAGGUCCCCAAGUCAUGGCUAAGUGGGAAAGGAUGUGGAAAUCCCAAAACAACCAGGAGGUUGGCUUAGAAGCAGCCAUCCUUUAAAGAAAGCGUAACAGCUCACUGGUCUAAAUAAGGGUUUCUGCGCCGAAAAUGUAACGGGGCUAAAGCCAUGCACCGAAGCUUCGGGCUCGAAAGAGCGGUAGCGGAGCGUUCCGUAAGCCUGUGAAGGAUGACCUGUGAGGGCGUCUGGAGGUAUCGGAAGUGCGAAUGCAGACAUGAGUAACGACAGGAGUGUGAGAAACACUCCCGCCGAAAGUCCAAGGGUUCCUGCGUAAAGCUAAUCUGCGCAGGGUUAGCCGGCCCCUAAGGCGAGGGCGAAAGCCGUAGUCGAUGGGAACCACGUUAAUAUUCGUGGGCCAGUGGGUGAGUGACGGAUUGUAUGUGUUGUCAGACCUUAUCGGAUUGGUUCUGGCAGCGAAGCAGUUCCAGGAAAUAGCCCCCACAUAGACCGUACCCUAAACCGACACAGGUGGACUGGUAGAGUAUACCAAGGCGAUUGAGAGAACUAUGCUGAAGGAACUCGGCAAAUUACCUGCGUAACUUCGGGAUAAGCAGGCCAUCCAUUUGGGCAACCAGAUGGGUGGGGCACAAAAUAGGGGGUGGCGACUGUUUACCUAAAACACAGGGCUAUGCUAAGUCGCAAGACGACGUAUAUGGCCUGACGCCUGCCCGGUGCUGGAAGGUUAAGAGGAGGAGUGCAAGCUCCGAAUCGAAGCCCCAGUAAACGGCGGCCGUAACUAUAACGGUCCUAAGGUAGCGAAAUUCCUUGUCGGGUAAGUUCCGACCUGCACGAAUGGCGUAACGAUCUCCCCACUGUCUCCAGCAUAGACUCAGUGAAAUUGAAUUCCCCGUGAAGAUGCGGGGUUCCUGCGGUUAGACGGAAAGACCCCGUGCACCUUUACUGCAACUUUGCACUGGCAAUCGUGAUUGCAUGUGUAGAAUAGGUGGUAGGCUUUGAAGCUUGGGCGCCAGCUCGAGUGGAGCCGCAAUGUGAAAUACCACCCUUAUGAUCAUGGUUGUCUAACCGCGGACCGUUAUCCGGUCCCGGGACAGAGCAUGGUGGGCAGUUUGACUGGGGCGGUCGCCUCCUAAAGCGUAACGGAGGCGUGCGAAGGUGGGCUCAGGUUGGUCGGACAUCAACCGUCGAGUGCAAUGGCAUAAGCCCGCCUGACUGCGAGACUGACAAGUCGAGCAGAGUCGAAAGACGGCCAUAGUGAUCCGGUGAUUCUGUGUGGAAGGGUCAUCGCUCAACGGAUAAAAGGUACGCCGGGGAUAACAGGCUGAUGAUUCCCAAGAGUCCAUAUCGACGGAAUCGUUUGGCACCUCGAUGUCGGCUCAUCUCAUCCUGGGGCUGGAGCAGGUCCCAAGGGUAUGGCUGUUCGCCAUUUAAAGAGGUACGUGAGCUGGGUUCAGAACGUCGCGAGACAGUUCGGUCCCUAUCUGCCGUAGGUGUAGGAGAAUUGAGAGGAUCUGUCCCUAGUACGAGAGGACCGGGAUGGACGUACCUCUGGUGGACCUGUUGUCGCGCCAGCGGCAUAGCAGGGUAGCUAUGUACGGAAGGGAUAACUGCUGAAAGCAUCUAAGCAGGAAACCCACCUCGAAACGAGUUCUCCCUGAGAGCCGUGGAAGACCACCACGUUGAUAGGCUGGGUGUGGAAGUGCGGCAACGCAUGGAGCUUACCAGUACUAAUAGCUCGAUAGGCUUGAUUAC
rnacentral:rRNA from 1 species